rnacentral:rRNA from 1 species
GGGUGAGUAACACGUGGAUAACCUACCUAUAAGACUGGGAUAACUUCGGGAAACCGGAGCUAAUACCGGAUAAUAUUUCGAACCGCAUGGUUCAAAAGUGAAAGACGGUCUUGCUGUCACUUAUAGAUGGAUCCGCGCUGCAUUAGCUAGUUGGUAAGGUAACGGCUUACCAAGGCAACGAUGCAUAGCCGACCUGAGAGGGUGAUCGGCCACACUGGAACUGAGACACGGUCCAG